GAUGAACGCUGGCGGCGUGCCUAAUACAUGCAAGUCGAGCGAACGGACGAGAAGCUUGCUUCUCUGAUGUUAGCGGCGGACGGGUGAGUAACACGUGGAUAACCUACCUAUAAGACUGGGAUAACUUCGGGAAACCGGAGCUAAUACCGGAUAAUAUUUUGAACCGCAUGGUUCAAAAGUGAAAGACGGUCUUGCUGUCACUUAUAGAUGGAUCCGCGCUGCAUUAGCUAGUUGGUAAGGUAACGGCUUACCAAGGCAACGAUGCAUAGCCGACCUGAGAGGGGGGUCGGCAAAACUGGAACUGAGACCCGGGCCGGAAUCCGAGGGAGGGGACGAGUAGGGAAUUGUCAGAAAUGGGGGAAAGCCGGACGGAGAAACGCCGGGGGAGGGAUGAAGGUUUUCGGAUCGAAAAACUCUUUUAUUGGGGAAAAACAAAUGGGGAAGUAACUGUGCCCAUCUUGAGGGUACCUAAUCAGAAAGCCACGGCUAACUACGU
rnacentral:rRNA from 1 species